rnacentral:rRNA from 1 species
CCUACGGGAGGCAGCAGUGAGGAAUAUUGGUCAAUGGACGAGAGUCUGAACCAGCCAAGUAGCGUGAAGGAUGACUGCCCUAUGGGUUGUAAACUUCUUCUAUAUGGGAAUAAAAUGUUCCACGUGUGGGAUUUGUAUGUACCAUAUGAAUAAGGAUCGGCUAACUCCGUGCCAGCAGCCGCGGUAAUACGGAGGGUGCGAGCGUUAUCCGGAUUUAUUGGGUGUAAAGGGAGCGUAGGUGGAUUGUUAAGUCAGUUGUGAAAGUUUGCGGCUCAACCGGAAAAUUGCAGUUGAAACUGGCAGUCUUGAGUACAGUAGAGGUGGGCGGAAUUCGUGGUGUAGCGGUGAAAUGCUUAGAUAUCACGAGGAACUCCGAUGGCGAAGGCAGUUCACUGGACUGCAACUGACGCUGAGGCUCGAAAGUGUGGGUAUCAAACAGGAUUAGAUACCCUGGUAGUC